GAGCCAAAACCAAGAUGCAUGAUUGAUAAUUGAGAAAGAAGUUAAUGAAGGAUUGGUCCACUGGUGUCUGAAAUUUUGCAGAAGAGACCACUAUUUACUUUCUUUCUCUUUCUCUUUCUCAAUCACACAAAAACUGUGGUGUGUAGUGUGGCUUCUGCAAAAUCUCUGCCACCUUCCCAUGCUUUCCCCCCAAACCUAAUAUGUCUUUUACCUUCUUUCUUUCUUACUUUCUUUCUUUCUUUCUUUUUUCUUUUGCGUGUGUGUGAUGUAAUCGAUGCCCUCUUUUUUACUCUCUCUCUCUCCCUCUCCCUCUCUCUCACACACUAAUCACACCCCCAUAAAACACACACCCUCUCUCUCUCUAUGAGUCUGCACAUUUCACCUUCCUCCAUGUCUGUGCAUUGGUACUUGGUUAUUAAAUCCUGCUAGCUGCUACUGUGUUACUGCUGUAUGUGUGUGUGGCCAUUGUACUGCAUGCAGAACAACUGACAACUGGGAAACCAUGACCCAGGUUUACAAGCCAUCUCCCUUUCUUUCUUUCUCUCUCUUUCUUCUUCUCUCUCAUCAGCAGCUAGGGUUUAGUGUUUGAUCCAUAUUUAAAGCUAAUUAAUUAAUGAACUUGUUUGUUUAGGGUAUGUAGUGGUGGCUGUUACUGUUAACCCAAAGGUCUGAUCAGGUUACCUGAUCAUUUGAGUUUAAGUAAUAUUAAAUCUUUUGUUUGGAUUCUACCGAAUAUAUAUGAUAUAUGCUAUCAAUCGACAUUAAAGGUGUAUAAACUUUAUCUGUUGUCUACAGGACCAUGUUGACAGUUUUGUUAUUUUUUUGGUUUUAUCUUUUUAAGAUUUGUUAACUAUAUAUAUUUGUUUUUAAUUGGAUUCUUUUGUUUUUCAGAACAUAAUUAUCAUCCACCGUGUAAGAAAAUCGAAGGGAAAUAUUAUUAUUUCUUGAAAAUCUUUUAUGUUAUUUAACUUAUUUUCAAGGGAUUUUGGGAAAUAACUUGCAUGAACGUAAUCGGCGCCAUUUCAUAGUACAUUUUUGCAAGCGGUUUUUUUAACCCGAACCAACCACCCCCCUCCCCUCCCCGGGUCCAAAAAAAGAAUAUAUAUAUAUAUACAUAUUUUUUAAAAUUGUGUAUUAGACCUAAAGGCUGUAAUUUCAUGGUUUUAUCAUGGCAAAGACUAUCCAUCUCCACAUCAAUUUACCAUGUUUGACACAUACCAGAAACGGUGAGAGAGAGAGAGGUACGGUAGCUUCUAGUCGAGCUCCGCACUACCGCAUUGGAAAAUGUAGACCCGACACGGUGUUAGCAGUCUACAUGGCAGUAUGAGUUUAUCGCACUCACACCAUAUCCUUAAAAGAUGAUGAAUAUAAUCUCGUGAUCAAAGCAGUUAAAAAUGAUUAAAUUUAGAACAUUAGUUUAAAAACCAAGUUUAAUAUUUACUUAAAUCUAAAGUUAUUUAGUUUCAUAUUUCAUAUGUUCUAAAGGUUAAUGAUUGGAAAUGGUACAAUUAACAGGGAAGGUUUAAAUCACACUAGUGUCAUUUAGAUGUUUGUUUUUAUUUUUUUAAGAAUAUUUUCAUGAUUUUUUUUGUGAAACCCAUACAACACAACGUGUAGACGUUUUCUUUUGCAGACUGUUUGUUAUUUAAAAAACUAUAGACGGUACAGAGAACAUGUAGAUUAUUUAAAAAACUGUAGAUAGUAUACAGAACAUGUAGAUGUUUUCUCUUACAGACUGUUUGUUAUUUAAAAAACCGUAGACAAUGGGGAAUCUGGAAAAUAAAAUUAGGGUUUGUCGGUAUAUAUAUUUAAGGCAUGAAACAAUAUAUAUAUAUAUAUAUAUAUAUAUAUAUAUAUAUAUAUAUAUAUAUAUAUAUAUAUAUAUAUAUAUAUAUAUAUAUAACUUUUCAAAGAAAAUUGUAUAGGUAAGAAAAUUAAGUGCAUACAUACCCUUCUUCUACAUUAGAUAUGCCCCUUAUCGCAAACCUAAAAAAGAUAUAUGGCUCUUCUUCUUGUAGGAGACAUGGACUAACCUAUUUUAUUUUUAAGUUUGCAACCAUUUUCCUUGUAGAAAACAAAAACAAAAAACAAAAUUUCAUUUGUAUCCUUACAAACUUUAAAUAUUAUUUUUAUAUGCUUAUGAAUUUUAAAACAACAUAUAUGUUCGUCUACAACUAUAAAAUUCACCUUUAUAUCCAAACUACUAUUUUAAUUACAAUCGAACCAUUUUAAUAUUAAACUUAUCUAAUAUCCAAAAUAGCAUAUGACAUUACUAAACUACCUGACCAGGGUACUGUUCCUCGGGUGACCACAGUGGUUAGGGUUUUUACUUCCCGAUCCUUCCAUCGUCUUCGUUAUCUCUACUCCAAAUUUCACCGUCUCCCCAACCCUCUUCGUCUCCACCGUUUCUCCCUUCUUCUUCAUCACCGAUCCAGACUGCUUCACACACUCCGCCUACUGCCGAUGGUAGUGUCUUAGAAUUGCAGUCAUUCUCUAGUUUCUUCUAUCGUCUUUGACUCAUCCUUCCAGAUCCUUGAUUAUUUCACCAAGUUCUUUUCACCGCCCACAAAGGUCAUAAAUCGAACCUGCGGGGGUUUUUAUAUUUGAUUAUGGUUUAGUAGGAAACAAAAGACCGAUCUACAUCAUCUUUAGAGAAUCCUUUUCGUUUCGGUGGGUAUCAGUUUCCCCCAAUCGCUUCCACCUCUCAACAUUCUCAACUGUUCCCCGUCUUCCUCUACCACUAAAACCAACGGAACAUCUUCCCACCUCUAAUGCUUCUUCUAACCAAGACUUCUUUCUACAACAAACACCACUGACCUCGAUACGCUUUUGAAAUUUUACACUUACCUCCCUUAUUAUCCGCCGCCAAUCAUUGCUUCGUAUAUCUCGAUUCUUCUUCAAUCUUUCUUCACCUUUAUUUCUUAUGAUCGUCUAUGGUUUCGUGCUCUCGAUUUUGUUGGGAUUCUUCGACCUCCGCCUCAACUGUCAUCACCUCAUUCCUCUUCUACUCCAUUAUUUUGGAAUUUGUUGGUGUUUAGGGUUUCUAGUGGAACCCUUUAACGCUAUGGUGAAGGGAUUGGAUGCAAACUUACGCUUCUACUCCUGGUUGGUGGAUGAAGAUUUGUAUUUGAAGCAAAAACCAUUCAGAAAUUAAAUGGAGUUGAUUGUGUCGACCAUAUUGCAAAGUCUCAAGUAGACACCCGUCAUUAGUUGUAAUUUCUGAUUUUCUUGAUAGGAACAAAUUUCAACAUUUAAAUUGGAUUUAAGAUCUUGAAGGAAGAUAUUCUUUCUAGCUUCCACCCCCUGACAUGGGUUGUUAUUGGGGUUUGUACAACCAUCAUUCUCAUAUCUGAAAACAUUAUUCACAAACUUGGAAAGUAUAUGAUGUACCAGCUUUGUAAGAGCGUUGCUUUUUGCCAUGCUCAUGGUGUAUUACACAGGGAUCUUAAGCCCAACAAUAUUUUGAUGGACAAAAAGACAUUGAUACAUAAAGUAGCAGACCUUGGACUUGCCAGAGCGUUUACUCUACCAAUUAAGAAGUAUACUCACGAGGAUAUGCAUGUGUGGUUGGGAGAACAAAGUCAUGGUUAUUUUGUUCAAGAAAAGGAAGAUACCUCAGUUGCAAAAGGAUUAGGAUUAAUUGUACUUGCUGAUAUUUUAUGUUUGUCUUAUUGAUUUAAACUAUAAAAUUUCCAUUUCUUUGAUUUUAUUUUAAUGAUUUAAAAUUUAGAAUUACUUAUCAUUAUUACUAUUAUGUUUAAUUACAGCGACAACUAGAACCAACCAAAAGGUAAGGAAGGUGUUAAUGUUGCUUCUAGACUAAUGAGUGUGUUACUGUAGAUCAAGUCUCAGUUCUAAGGGUAAUUAAUAGCAAUAUUCUUUCAUAUUAGUGUAUUAUAGGAUCUUAAUUUCUAAAUGUACAUAGUCAGAGCAGUGAAAUGCUUCGUAAAUUAUGUGUUGUCAACCCAAAUGGUCUCUUAACUACAAAAGGGAGAAAACUUGAAGACAACGAAAUUGUCCACUUUGUCUUUUGUAACAGCGAUUCAAGAAGUAAGAAUAACUAUUGGACCAAUUCAUGACCUAAAACUGCCGCAUUUGGGAUUGUAAGAUUCAAUACAAAAAGAUCCGUAGAGGUAAUAAUUUACUCAUAUUCUGCAAUUUUGUAGUGUUUCAGGAUUAGUGGUUCUAAUAAGUUGUUCAUUUCAAGUUUUUUUUUUCUUUCAGACUGGUCGUCUACAUUCUAAGAACAGGUUUGUUUUGUUGGAAUUGUUAAUAGACAAAAUGUAAAGAUUUUGGUUAUCAGUUUCAGUUGUUGAAUAGGUGACAUUCUUCAAGAUAGAGAUCAAUACAUUGGAUGCAUUUUCACACGUGGGAGGUAAUUAUGCAAUGGGAAAAUGUUUGAUGAUUGAAGCAACAUUUCCUAGAAAAAUGUAUAUUCUUACACUUGAAAACUACAUUUUUAAUAAUUUGUUCUAAGAAGUAAUAACAAUACUAAGAAGUAAGUUGUCUUAGUGUGUUACUUA